GACGAACGCUGGCGGCGUGCCUAAUACAUGCAAGUCGAACGCUUCUUUUCCCACCGGAGCUUGCUCCACCGGGAAAAGAGGAGUGGCGAACGGGUGAGUAACACGUGGGUAACCUGCCCAUCAGAAGGGGAUAACACUUGGAAUCAGGUGCUAAUACCGUACAACAAUCGAAACCGCAUGGUUUCGUUUUGAAAGGCGCUUUACGGUGCCGCAGAUGGAUGGACCCCCGGUGCAUUAGCUAGUUGGUGAGGUAACGGCUCACCAAGGCCACGAUGCAUAGCCGACCUGAGAGGGUGAUCGGCCACAUUGGGACUGAGACACGGCCCAAACUCCUACGGGAGGCAGCAGUAGGGAAUCUUCGGCAAUGGACGAAAGUCUGACCGAGCAACGCCGCGUGAGUGAAGAAGGUUUUCGGAUUGUAAAACUCUGUUGUUAGAGAAGAACAAGGGUGAGAGUAACUGUUCACCCCUUGACGGUAUCUAACCAGAAAGCCACGGCUAACUACGUGCCAGCCGCCGCGGUAA
rnacentral:rRNA from 1 species